rnacentral:lncRNA from 1 species
CUCAGAGCUCUCAGGGAACUAUUAGAAAAGUGGCUCUCUUUUUCUGCUGUUUCUGUGAAGAUGUGAGAGGAUAAUUCCUUUAAAUGUGUGGUCCCCACAAGGUUAGAGCCAGUUGGAUAAUGCAACCAACACAGAGAAGGGAGCCAAAUGAUGGUGAGGAAGAAACCAGUUUUGGGUGACAUCAUUUAGACCUCUGCAUCAAAAAUAGCUUGAAAGAGACAAGGAGAGAGAACCCACCAAACCUCUGCAAUCUGUCAUACUUUCCUAGAUGAAUAUUAAAUGUUUGGGAAAAAGAGAAACAGCCCCAGAGCUUGUGCCGUAGUUGAAUGAAAUACCAGGAAGGAGUGUGAUGUAAGGAGACUCCCAAGUUAAUGCUGGCUCUGCCAUCCUCUUUAUGACCUUACUGGUGGACACUUGGAUUGCAGGAUUUACUCAACCAGCUGCUGGCAGCACUGCUGACAGGGAGCCCUCAGCUGUCAGCCCCCAGUGGGGAUGGCCAGGGCUGAAGAGAACCAACCUGAGACACCUUGUCAAGUGGCUUCAUUUUCCUGGGCCUCAGUUUCACUCACGGCUUUUUCACUUCACCAGCAUGAUCUGGAAAUCCCAUCUCAGACUCACAUCCACAGAAAACUGUUGUUGUCUGUAUGGGAAUAAAAAGACACUGGAAAUUAUAAAUUUUUUAUCUGUAUGGUUUGCUCCAUCUUGUGAAAAGUGUGGUUAUACCAACUUUGAAGACUUUCCUUGGAAUCCUACAGGUUUAAAUGCUUUGGGUAGUUAUUUGGUAUCAAAUAGAACAGGAGAGGAAAGGAGCGAGAGGAAACUGAGCUCCUUUCUACAUCCUGCUGUAGAGUUGGAGGGGCCCCUUGAGUUCAAUGCAUGAAAGCUGUUUUAAAUCACUAAUUAAUAAAACAAUGCCCUACUUUUUGUAAGCAUGAAAACUGAUAAAAUUACCACCACAUAUCUGUAAUCUAGAGUUUAGGCAUGAAAUCCCUUCUAGGUUAGAUGCACAAGCCCAUGCAAUCAAAUGGUCAAAUUGCCAUCUUCCUCAGCAUCAUGGGAUUUCCCGAAAGGGGUAGAAAGUCACAAGGAGAAAGCCUGGAGCUACACAUCCUCAGUGAGGUGCUAUUUUUGCCAAGCACAGAAAAUUAAAAGUUGGAUGAGACCUUAUAGCUAAGAAAUACCAAGUUAAGUCAAAUUAAUAAAAUGUGGUGAGUAACUCUGAUUUAUGUAGCUGAGCUUCAU